AGCAAGGGGCUGCCCACGGCGGGCUGGGUUUCGGAACCACUCCGGACUGGUGGAGGGCAGCUCACCCAGAAGCCCGGUCCGUGUGUGUGCCUGGUACCAACACUGAGAUGGUGGACUUCGGACCGAGCCCGGUGCCAUGCUGGUUAGACUCUGAGCUCGAGGAUGCCGGGGCAGUUCCUCGAUGGAGAACAGACUGCAGGACACGCGGAACCAGGACACUGCCGUGAGCAUCGCCUGACACGCCAUCUCCCUGGGACUCAGACACCCAG